rnacentral:rRNA from 1 species
UUCCGGUUGAUCCUGCCGGACCCGACUGCUAUCAGAGUGGGACUAAGCCAUGCGAGUCAACGUAGCAAUACGUGGCAUACGGCUCAGUAACACGUAGUCAACAUGCCCAGGGGACGACGAUAACCUCGGGAAACUGAGGAUAAACCUCGAUAGGCCAUGAUUUCUGGAAUGAUUCUUGGCUCAAACCUAUAUGGCCCCUGGAUUGGACUGCGGCCGAUCAGGCUGUUGGUGAGGUAAUGGCCCACCAAACCUAUUACCGGUACGGGCUCUGAGAGGAGGAGCCCGGAGAUGGGCACUGAGACAAGGGCCCAGGCCCUAUGGGGCGCAGCAGGCGCGAAACCUCUGCAAUAGGCGAAAGCUUGACAGGGUUACUCUGAGUGAUUUCCGCUAAGGGAAUCUUUUGGCACCUCUAAAAAUGGUGCAGAAUAAGGGGUGGGCAAGUCUGGUGUCAGCCGCCGCGGUAAUACCAGCACCCCGAGUGGUCGGGACGAUUAUUGGGCCUAAAGCAUCCGUAGCCGGUCCUGCAAGUCUUCCGUUAAAUCCAGCUGCACAACAGAUGGGCUGCGGGAGAUACUACAGGACUAGGAGGCGGGAGAGGCAAGCGGUACUUUAUGGGUAGGGGUAAAAUCCGCUGAUCCAUAGAAGACCACCAGUGGCGAAGGCGGCUUGCCAGAACGCGCUCGACGGUGAGGGAUGAAAGCUGGGGGAGCAAACCGGAUUAGAUACCCGGGUAGUCCCAG